AGCUGAGGUUAGUGAGGCAGUGGGGGGUUAGCAAGUUGAAGGCAGAUAAUAUGGGGCUCUGUGGGCCAUCAUGAGGACUUCAGCUUUUACCUCGGCAUGAGAUGGGAAACCACUGGAGAAUCUAGAGGAGAAAGGGAUGAUCUGCCCUUCAACAGGAUCAUCCAGGCUACUCCGGUGAAUAUAGACCAUAUGAGGGCAAAGAUUGGAAGCUAGGUGAGCAGUUAGAAGGCUACUGCAAUAGCUAUGUGAGAGAGAUGAACUAGGAGAGUAGCAGUGGAGAUCUGAGAUACGGCAAAGUCUAGAUAUAACACAAAGGAAUAGCCGACAGAAUUUGCUUUUGGAUUGGCUGUAUUGUAGGAGAGAAAAAAUAGGGUGCAUUUUUGGGUUGAGCAAAGAGAAGAAUGAAGAUUCCUUGUACUGAGAUGGGGAAAACUGCAGGAGGAGUGGGUCUGAAAGAGAUGAGGCAUAUCUGAGGCACAGAGAGGUUAAGUUGGGGACUGAAGUGUGGCUCCAGAAUCUAAGUUUCUAACUGCCAUGCUAUGGUAAGUGAGAUUGGUAAGUGCACAUGAGGAACUCGUGAGCCUCAAAGUCAUUCAUCAAUGCAGCAUUCAAUGAUGGCUUACAUGAAGGUAUAGAGGUAGGCUCAUCACUUUUACCCAAACUCAAAAAACUGAAUUUUUAUUAAGAAAGAAGAAAGCAUGGAAGAUGGGCACCACCCUUCAUAAAUGGUCAUUUAAUUGGUUUUGGGUGCAUCCCAGGAAAUCAAAUUUCAAAAGCUCCCUAGGUGAUUCCAAUGUGCAGUUAGUGUUAACAAAUACUGUCGUAAGAAUUUUUCUUUUUAUAUUAAUUUAAAUAUCCAUUAAAAGAUAAGAACAGUUGAAACCACCUUUUCAAAAUGAUGACAGUAAGAUAAAUCUGAUAUAGUUGGCUCCAUCUUGCUUCUGACCUCCUUUGGUCAUUCCUGGAUGUAGGCCAAGGUAACUGUGGGAGGAAUUUAGUUUAUAGUUUAACUUUGAAGCAAGGAUGAUAAUAGUCUCUCCCUAAAACUACUCCCCUCCUUAUUCAGGGGCUGAAAAUACCUUUAUCAAACUAAUAAAAGGCCGCAAGAUUAGGAUUAUGGGAGGGGCCUGAGUUCUGCUAAAAUGUGGGCAUAGUUUUCAUAAUCCCUUUCUGCUCAGGAGUCAUGUGGCCAGAGGUCACAAUGUUUGUGACUUCCCCAAUUGCUCCUAUAGAUAACAUCACAUUGUGGAACCUAAGAUUGUUCUUUUGAGAUGUUUUUCAGACUGACCCCACUGGACUCAUGACUCAUGGACUCAGCUGGUCCUGUGGCCCUACCCAGAAGUGGACUCAGCACACGAGGACCAUUUCCCACACUCCUGUGAUUUCAUCCCCAAUUAUUCAGCAGUACCCUUUCCAUAGCCCCUUGCCCACCAAGUUGUCCAUAAAAACCCUAGCCUCUGAGCUUUUGGGGAGAUGGAGUUGAGUAAUAACUCCAUCUACUGCAUGGCUGGCCUUGUGUCAAUUAAACUUUUUUCUUUACUGCAAUAACAUGGUCUCAGUGAACUGAUUUUGUUCAUGCAGGAGGCAGGAAAAGCCCCUUGGGUGAUUACACAGUGGUUCUCAAAGUAUGGACCUCCAACCAGCAGCAUCAGCAGCAUCUGGAUACUUGCUAGAAAUGGAAAUUCUCUGGCCCUAUUCCAGGCCUUCCAAGUUGGAAACUUUGUGAUGGGGCCCAGCACUCUGUGUUUUAACAAGCCCUCUAGCCUUAAGGAAAACAACUCUGAGGACUUUUGUCACGGACUUGAAAUUCUCAUCUGUGCUUGGACAAGACUCUGAAACAUACCAACUGUGUAUUUUCCUGCCUUUGGUAAAUCUGGAGCUAUUAACUGAUUCUAAAGAACAUUUGACUUAAAAAGACUAUGGAAAGCCCAAAGAAUAAAGUAGAUAAUGAAGACCCCAGUGGAUUAUUAUUAGCAAAUGAAAACUGGAUAUCAAGAAGGGCAAAAUCUUCAACCUUAUCAGCAGAAAGAGUUUAUGUAAAAAUAUACCACAUAGAAUAACUAAAAAAAUAAGCAAGUGAUACCUUAUCUGAGCUCAAAAUAUCUGUUUCUUUGCAAAUGGAUAAAGGAUUUAUUAUAUUAUAGCACCUUGAGGACAGAGACUUUAUGUUUCUAACUACCCAUCCCAGCAUCAUCUAGUUCAUUCCUAUGCUGAACAGCCCCUAACACAUUGCCUAAAUAAAUACUAACAUUAUAUGUGUGCAAUGAAGUAUUCUUUUGCUAAAAGCAAAACUUUCAUAUGGUCUUACAAUAAGCCACUUGUAAGACUAGUUUUAAAUAAUUACUGAUACAAAUGCUGCCACUGCCCCCAAAGAAACCUGAAUAAAAUUAUGUUAGGCUGCACUAAUUUCAGUGUCAAGCUAUUUAACUCUGCUGAUAGUCAUUUUUUUAAAGAUCUUUUGAUCUUUAAAUUGAGAGAGUUGAACUAAAUAAUCUUUUAGAUAUCUUCUAGUUUAAUAUUCUAAGAUUCUAGUAAAUAUAUUGUGUUUGGUCAGGUGUGGUGGCUCAUGCCUGUAAUCCCAACAUUUUCAGAGGCUG
rnacentral:lncRNA from 1 species